rnacentral:rRNA from 1 species
UACUCCUAGGGAGGCAGCAGUGAGGAAUAUUGCCCAAUGGACGAAAGUCUGAGGCAGCAACGCCGCGUGGGCGAUGAAGGCCUUCGGGUUGUAAAGCCCUUUUCUGGGGGACGAGUGAGGACGGUACCUCAGGAAUAAGUCACGGCUAACUACGUGCCAGCAGCCGCGGUAAU